rnacentral:rRNA from 1 species
GACGAACGCUGGCGGCGUGCCUAACACAUGCAAGUCGAACGGAAAGGCCCUGCUUUUGUGGGGUGCUCGAGUGGCGAAGGGGUGAGUAACACGUGAGUAACCUGCCCUUGACUUUGGGAUAACUUCAGGAAACUGGGGCUAAUACCGGAUAGCAGCUCCCGUUGCCUUGUGAGGGUUGGAAAUUUUCGGCGGUUGGGGUUGGACUCGCGGCUUAUCAGCUUGUUGGUGGGGUAGUGGCUUACCAAGGCUUUGACGGGUAGCCGGCAUGAGAGGGUGACCGGCCACAUUGGGACUGAGAUACGUCCCAGACUCCUACGGGAGGCAGCAGUGGGGAAUAUUGCACAAUGGGCGGAAGCCUGAUGCAGCAACGCCGCGUGCGGGAUGACGGCCUUCGGGUUGUAAACCGCUUUCGCCUGUGACGAAGCGUGAGUGACGGUAAUGGGUAAAGAAGCACCGGCUAACUACGUG